ensembl:lncRNA
GAAUAUAGCAAAAUAAAAGUUGGCAAAAAUAUAAAUAGUCAAGUACAGAUACGCCCAAAACUACUGAAGUACUUUAAUACCACUGCAACCAGCAACACAACCUGCAUCAGACUGUACAACCAGCAACACAACCUGCAUCAGACUGUGCAACCAGCAACACAACCUGCAUCAGACUGUACAACCAGCAACACAACCUGCAUCAGACUGUACAACCAGGAACACAACCUGCAUCAGACUGUGCAACCAGCAACACAACCUGAAUCAGACUGUACAACCAGCAAAACACAACCUCCAUCAGACUGUACAACCAGCAACACAACCUGCAUCAGACUGUGCAACCAGCAACACAACCUGCAUCAGACUGUGCAACCAGCAACACAACCUGCAUCAGACUGUACAACCAGCAACACAACCUGCAUCAGACUGUGCAACCAGCAACACAACCUGCAUCAGACUGUGCAACCAGCAACACAACCUGCAUCAGACUGUGCAACCAGCAACACAACCUGCAUCAGACUGUGCAACCAGCAAAACACAACCUCCAGACUGUGCAACCAGCAACACAACCUGCAUCAGACUGUGCAACCAGCAACACAACCUGCAUCAGACUGUACAACCAGCAAAACACAACCUCCAUCAGACUGUACAGCCAGCAACACAACCUGCAUCAGACUGUGCAACCAGCAACACAACCUGCAUCAGACUGUGCAACCAGCAACACAACCUGCAUCAGACUGUGCAAUCAGCAAAACACAACCUCCAUCAGACUGUACAACCAGCAACACAACCUGCAUCAGACUGUACAACCAGCAACACAACCUGCAUCAGACUGUACAACCAGCAAAACACAACCUCCAUCAGACUGUACAACCAGCAACACAACCUGCAUCAGACUGUGCAACCAGCAACACAACCUGCAUCAGACUGUGCAACCAGCAACACAACCUGCAUCAGACUGUACAACCAGCAACACAACCUGCAUCAGACUGUACAACCAGCAAAACACAACCAACAACCUGCAUCAGACUGUACAACCAGCAACACAACCUGCAUCAGACUGUACAACCAGCAACACAACCUCCAUCAGACUGUACAACCAGCAAAACACAACCAACAACCUGCAUCAGACUGUACAACCAGCAACACACAACCAACAACCUGCAUCAGACUGUACAACCAGCAACACAACCUGCAUCAGACUGUACAACCAGCAACACAACCUCCAUCAGACUGUACAACCAGCAAAACACAACCAACAACCUGCAUCAGACUGUACAACCAGCAACACACAACCAACAACCUCCAUCAGACUGUACAACCAGCAACACAACCUCCAUCAGACUGUACAACCAGCAACACAACCUCCAUCAGACUGUACAACCAGCAACACAACCUCCAUCAGACUGUACAACCAGCAACACAACCUCCAUCAGACUGUACAACCAGCAACACAACCUGCAUCAGACUGUACAACCAGCAACACAACCUCCAUCAGACUGUACAACCAGCAACACACAACUUCCAUCAGACUGUACAACCAGCAAAACACAACCAACAACCUGCAUCAGACUGUACAACCACCAACACACAACCCCAACAAUCUCCAUCAGACUGUACAACCAGCAACACAACCUCCGUCAGACUGUACAACCAGCAAAACACAACCAACAACCUCCAUCAGGCUGUACAACCAGCAACACACAGCAAAGUGAACAGCGAGCACAACAAUCAACCUACCACAGCAUGAAGCGGCUGGACAGAUACAGUGGAAAACAUGACAGGGCUGUAAUAUAG